GAUGAACGCUGGCGGCGUGCUUAACACAUGCAAGUCGAACGAAGCAUUUAGAACAGAUUAUUUCGGUAUGAAGUUCUUUAUGACUGAGUGGCGGACGGGUGAGUAACGCGUGGGUAACCUGCCUUGUACUGGGGGAUAGCAGCUGGAAACGGCUGGUAAUACCGCAUAAGCGCACGGUGCCGCAUGGCACAGUGUGAAAAACUCCGGUGGUAUAAGAUGGACCCGCGUCUGAUUAGCUAGUUGGUGAGAUAACAGCCCACCAAGGCGACGAUCAGUAGCCGACCUGAGAGGGUGACCGGCCACAUUGGGACUGAGACACGGCCCAGACUCCUACGGGAGGCAGCAGUGGUGAAUAUUGCACAAUGGAGGAAACUCUGAUGCAGCGACGCCGCGUGAGUGAAGAAGUAAUUCGUUAUGUAAAGCUCUAUCAGCAGGGAAGAUAGUGACGGUACCUGACUAAGAAGCUCCGGCUAAAUACGUGCCAGCCGCCGCGGUAA
rnacentral:rRNA from 1 species